GCUGAGUCGGGGAAUGCGGGAGCGGGAAUGCGGGGGGGGGGAGCGUUGGUCGGAGUGACUGGGGGUGAAGGACACGUAGGCGGAUCACAAAGAUGGGGGGGAAAGCCCGGGUGUCAACCUCGGAACUGCCCUCAAAACUAUUGGUGUGGAGUUGGAGAGAUGUGAGUGGAAUUCCGAGUGUAUGGGGGAAAUUCGGAGAUAUUCGGAGGAACACCAGUGGCGAAGGCGGCGCACUGGCUCGAUACUGACGCUGAGGUGCGAAAGCGUGGUGAGCAAACAGGAUUAGAUACCCCGGUAGUC
rnacentral:rRNA from 1 species